UAUUUUGUGUUUUAGAGUUAAGCCCAUGUGUUUUGGCCCUAGGGCAGCCUAGUUAGAUGCUCUUCUUUAGGGUUAUGUUUGUUUAAGGCAUAUAAAUAGCCUCCUUAAGAUGUAAAACGGGAUUUUUGGCAUAAUUUGAAUCAAAGACAGAUUGUUCAUGCUCUUGCAUGUUCUUCUUGAUUAGAGAGAUUGUGAGAAUUUGCUAUCCUCUAAUUGCAUCAAGAAUUAAGGUAAACUUAUCAACUCGUUGUGGCGUUUAUCUUGUUCUUUGCUCGAUUAUUGGUGUUACCGUUUCCUUAUAAACGUGGGGUGCCAUAGAGCGUUUUAAUCUCGAUUAUUGGUGUUUCCGUUUCCUUAUAAACGUGGGGUGCCAUAGAGGUGAACUUAUAUCCCAUUCCUUUGAUUCCCGAUCCCGGAUCCUUAU
rnacentral:lncRNA from 1 species